rnacentral:rRNA from 2 species
UAGGGAAUCUUCGGCAAUGGGGGGAACCCUGACCGAGCAACGCCGCGUGAGUGAAGAAGGUUUUCGGAUCGUAAAGCUCUGUUGUUAAGGAAGAACGAGUGUGAGAAUGGAAAGUUCAUGCUGUGACGGUACUUAACCAGAAAGGGACGGCUAACUACGUGCCAGCAGCCGCGGUAAUACGUAGGUCCCGAGCGUUGUCCGGAUUUAUUGGGCGUAAAGCGAGCGCAGGCGGUUAGAAAAGUCUGAAGUGAAAGGCAGUGGCUCAACCAUUGUAGGCUUUGGAAACUGUUUAACUUGAGUGCAGAAGGGGAGGGUGGAAUUCCAUGUGUAGCGGUGAAAUGCGUAGAUAUAGGGAGGAACACCGGUGGCGAAAGCGGCUCUCUGGUCUGUAACUGACGCUGAGGCUCGAAAGCGUGGGGAGCGAACAGG